rnacentral:lncRNA from 1 species
CACCGCAAGGCCUGCUGGGAUGGACGUCCCUUGGCAGAGUGCCCCCUAUGGGGCGAACAGGCCAGAUGGCUGCACUGGGUGCUGCAGUGAGCCCAGAGAGCACAGCAGAUCCAUUGGCGAUACUAACAGUGGCCGCUCAACUCACCCAGGGGCUGGAAUGGGACUUUCAAUGACACACACACGCACUCACACACGCACACACACACCUGGUCUAAAAGGAAGGAUGGGUCAGAGGAGGUCAGAAAACUUCUGGGGCGGAGAGAGAGUUGAAGUGGAGGUGAUUGGGGUUGCCCGACCCCCGGUUGGGGGAGGCCAGCCAAAGAACCUAGAAGGGAAGAAAGGAAAAGUUUUCCACUCUUACAGUUCAGGCCCUGAACAUGGGGCCCUCCACUGGCUGGAUAUUGCUCACUCCAGGACUACUGCAGCUGAGAGAUCGCCAGGACUUCUAAUAAAAGUCAGCAGACGGAGGGUCUCAGCCAAGAACCUAGAAGGAUGGAGGGAAAAUUAUUUUUCCUCCCCUGCAGUAUGAAAGAAACUGAAGAAAUAAACACCCCUGCAAACAGAAAAAAAUGAGUCCCCCCUCAAAAAAGAAACACAAAGAAAAA